rnacentral:rRNA from 1 species
AUGAUGCAAUCUGGGCCUGAACAUUGGUGUAGAGCAUGGUUCAAAGAAGGAUCAUUCUGUGAUUCAGUCGACAACAAUAUGUGUGAAAGUUUUAACAAUUGGAUAGUGGAAUAUAGAGGUCUUCCUAUCAUCAGUAUGUUUGAAGCAAUCAGAGCAAAGGUGACUGUAAGGAUUCAAGUUAAUAGAGCUAUGCCUGCCAAUUGGAAUGGAACAAUUUGUCCCAAAAUCCUCAAAAAGGUGAACAAGUUGAUACAACUUACUGAGAAGUGUGAGACAAUAUGGAAUGGAAAAGAUGGAUAUGAGGUAAAGUUAGGACAGCAUGGAUUCAAAGUUGACUUGCAAGCAGGGACAUGUUCUUGUAGAUACUGGCAAUUGUCAGGAAUUCCAUGUGUUCAUGCUCUAGCAGCUUCACAGUGUGGCCCUGAUGACAUUGAUUCACUUAUUGCACCUUGCUACAGAAUUGAAGCUUACAAUAGGACAUAUGAACAUGUCAUGAUGCCAAUGGAGGGCAUGCCUAGCUGGCCAAUAGCUGACAGGCCUAGACCUUUAGUUCCAAGCUAUGUGCAAAUGCCUGGGACGCCCAGGACAGAGAGAAUAAGAGGUGAAGAUGAGCCUCCUAAGCAUGCACACAAACUCUCCAAGAUUGGAACUAAGAUCAAGUGUAGUUUAUGUGGAAAUCCUGGGCACAACAUGAGGAAAUGCAAUACUAACCCCAACAAGGGAAAGUACAAGAAUAGGAAGAGGAAAAAAGAAACAAAGGUGUGUAAUGAUUUUUACAUGUGUUUGAUUUCUAUUCAUUUCUAUAUGUUUUGUACUUGUGAAAUUGUAGCAAUGUGA